rnacentral:lncRNA from 1 species
UUUUUAAGAAAAUUAUUUAAAAAUACAACAUAUUGAUGAAAAACUCAGAAAAAAUACUCAUCUAUCCACAAAUAUUCUUGUUAUCCUAAUUUUUAAAUCACAAACCCUAAUCUAGAGUAUUUCUCUAAAAAAUGAAAACUUUUCAAAAAUAGCAGCUUUUGAGAAAUUAUUUAAAAGUACAACCAAUUGAUGAAAAACUCAGAAAAAAUACUCAUCUAUCCACAAAUAUUCUUGUUAUCCUAAUUUCUAAAUCACAAACCCUAAUCUAUAGUAUUUCUCUAAAAAAUGAAAACUUUCCAAAAAUAGCAGUUUUUUAGAAAAUUAUUUUAAAUACUGUAGAACUGAUGAAAAAUUCUUAAAGUAUACUAAUCUAUCCACAAAUAUUCUUGUUAUCCUAAUUUCUAAAUCACAAACCCUAAUCUAUAGUAUUUCUCUAAAAAAUGAAAACUUUCCAAAAAUAGCAGUUUUUUAGAAAAUUAUUUUAAAUACUGUAGAACUGAUGAAAAAUUCUUAAAGUAUACUAAUCUAUCCACAAAUAUUCUUGUUAUCCUAAUUUCUAAAUCACAAACCCUAAUCUAUAGUAUUUCUCUAAAAAAUGAAAACUUUCCAAAAAUAGCAGUUUUUUAGAAAAUUAUUUUAAAUACUGUAGAACUGAUGAAAAAUUCUUAAAGUAUACUAAUCUAUCCACAAAUAUUCUUGUUAUCCUAAUUUCUAAAUCACAAACCCUAAUCUAUAGUAUUUCUCUAAAAAAUGAAAACUUUCCAAAAAUAGCAGUUUUUUAGAAAAUUAUUUUAAAUACUGUAGAACUGAUGAAAAAUUCUUAAAGUAUACUAAUCUAUCCACAAAUAUUCUUGUUAUCCUAAUUUCUAAAUCACAAACCCUAAUCUAUAGUAUUUCUCUAAAAAAUGAAAACUUUCCAAAAAUAGCAGUUUUUUAGAAAAUUAUUUUAAAUACUGUAGAACUGAUGAAAAAUUCUUAAAGUAUACUAAUCUAUCCACAAAUAUUCUUGUUAUCCUAAUUUCUAAAUCACAAACCCUAAUCUAUAGUAUUUCUCUAAAAAAUGAAAACUUUCCAAAAAUAGCAGUUUUUUAGAAAAUUAUUUUAAAUACUGUAGAACUGAUGAAAAAUUCUUAAAGUAUACUAAUCUAUCCACAAAUAUUCUUGUUAUCCUAAUUUCUAAAUCACAAACCCUAAUCUAUAGUAUUUCUCUAAAAAAUGAAAACUUUCCAAAAAUAGCAGUUUUUUAGAAAAUUAUUUUAAAUACUGUAGAACUGAUGAAAAAUUCUUAAAGUAUACUAAUCUAUCCACAAAUAUUCUUGUUAUCCUAAUUUCUAAAUCACAAACCCUAAUCUAUAGUAUUUCUCUAAAAAAUGAAAACUUUCCAAAAAUAGCAGUUUUUUAGAAAAUUAUUUUAAAUACUGUAGAACUGAUGAAAAAUUCUUAAAGUAUACUAAUCUAUCCACAAAUAUUCUUGUUAUCCUAAUUUCUAAAUCACAAACCCUAAUCUAUAGUAUUUCUCUAAAAAAUGAAAACUUUCCAAAAAUAGCAGUUUUUUAGAAAAUUAUUUUAAAUACUGUAGAACUGAUGAAAAAUUCUUAAAGUAUACUAAUCUAUCCACAAAUAUUCUUGUUAUCCUAAUUUCUAAAUCACAAACCCUAAUCUAUAGUAUUUCUCUAAAAAAUGAAAACUUUCCAAAAAUAGCAGUUUUUUAGAAAAUUAUUUUAAAUACUGUAGAACUGAUGAAAAAUUCUUAAAGUAUACUAAUCUAUCCACAAAUAUUCUUGUUAUCCUAAUUUCUAAAUCACAAACCCUAAUCUAUAGUAUUUCUCUAAAAAAUGAAAACUUUCCAAAAAUAGCAGUUUUUUAGAAAAUUAUUUUAAAUACUGUAGAACUGAUGAAAAAUUCUUAAAGUAUACUAAUCUAUCCACAAAUAUUCUUGUUAUCCUAAUUUCUAAAUCACAAACCCUAAUCUAUAGUAUUUCUCUAAAAAAUGAAAACUUUCCAAAAAUAGCAGUGUUUUAGAAAAUUAUUUAAAAAUACAACCUAUUGAUGAAAAACUCAGAAAAAAUACUCAUCUAUCCACAAAUAUUCUUGUUAUCCUAAUUUCUAAAUCACAAACCCUAAUCUACAGUAUUUUUCUAAAGAAUGAAACUUUUCAAAAAUAGCAACUUUUAAGAAAAUUAUUUAAAAAUACAACCUAUUGAUUGAAAAACUCAGAUAUUCUUGUUAUUUAAUAACAUUCAUCUAUGCACAAAUAUUUUUGGUUAUCCUAAUUUCUAAAUCAAAAACCCUAAUCUACAGUAUUUCUCUAAAAAAUGAAAACUUUCCAAAUAUAGCAGCUUUUAAGAAAAUUAUUUAAAAAUACAACCUAUUGAUGAAAAACUCAGAAAAAAUACUCAUCUAUCCACAAAUAUUCUUGCUAGUUUCAAAAUCACAAAACCUAAUCUACAAUAUUUCUCAAGAAAAUGAAAACUUUCCAAAAAUAGCAGUUUUUAAGAAAAUUAUUUAUAAAUACAACAUAUUCAUGAAAAAUUCUUAAAGAAUACUCAUAUAUCCAAAAAUAUUCUUGUUAUACUAGUUUCAAAAUCACAAAACCUAAUCUACAAUAUUUUUCAAGAAAAUGAAAACUUUCCAAAAAUAGCAGUUUUUAAGAAAAUUAUUUAUAAAUACAACAUAUUCAUGAAAAAUUCUUAAAGAAUACUCAUAUAUCCAAAAAUAUUCUUGUUAUACUAGUUUCAAAAUCACAAAACCUAAUCUACAAUAUUUUUCAAGAAAAUGAAAACUUUCCAAAAAUAGCAGUUUUUAAGAAAAUUAUUUAUAAAUACAACAUAUUCAUGAAAAAUUCUUAAAGAAUACUCAUAUAUCCAAAAAUAUUCUUGUUAUACUAGUUUCAAAAUCACAAAACCUAAUCUACAAUAUUUUUCAAGAAAAUGAAAACUUUCCAAAAAUAGCAGUUUUUAAGAAAAUUAUUUAAAAAUACAACCUAUUGAUGAAAAAAUCAGAAAGAAUACUCAUAUAUCCAAAAAUAUUCUUGUUAUCCUUAUUUCUAAAUCACAAACCCUAAUCUACAGUAUUUCUCUAAAAAAUGAAAACUUUCCAAAUAUAGCAGCUUUUAAGAAAAUUAUUUAAAAAUACAACCUAUUGAUGAAAAACUCACAAAAAAUACUCAUCUAUCCACAAAUAUUCUUGUUAUCCUAAUUUCUAAAUCACAAACCCUAAUUACAGUAUUUCUCUAAAAAAAUAAUAUAGCAGCUUUUAAGAAAAUUAUUUCAAUAUACAACCUAUUGAUUGAAAAAGUCAGAAAAAUACUCAUUUAUCCACAAAUUUUCUUGUUAUCCUAAUUUCUAAAUCACAAACCGUAAUCUACAGUAUUUUUCUAAAAAAUGUAAACUUUCCAAAAAUAGCAGUUUUUAAGAAAAUUAUUUAAAAAUGCAGCUUAUUGAUGAAAAACUUUAAAAAAAAUACUCAUCUAUGCACAAAUAUUCUUGUUAUCCUAAUUUCUAAAUCAAAAACACUAAUCUACAGUAUUUCUCUAAAAAAUGAAAACUUUCCAAAAAUAGCAAAUUUUUAGAAAAUUAUUUAAAAUACUGUAGAAUUGAUGAAAAAUUCUUUAAGUAUACUAAUCUAUCCAAAAAUAUUCUUGUUAUCCUAAUUUCCAAAUCACAAACCCUAAUCUAGAGUAUUUCUCUAAAAAAUGAAAACUUUUCAAAAAUAGCAGCUUUUAUAAUAAUUAUUUAAAAAUACAAACUACUGAUGAAAAACUCAGAAAAAAAUACUCAUCUAUCCACAAAUAUUCUUGUUAUCCUAAUGUUUAAAUCACAAACCCUAAUCUACAGUAUUUCUCUAAAAAAAUGAAAAAUUUCAAAAAAUAGAA